GACAGAGGAUGCAAGCGUUAUCCGGAAUGAUUGGGCGUAAAGCGUCUGUAGGUGGCUUUUCAAGUCCGCCGUCAAAUCCCAGGGCUCAACCCUGGACAGGCGGUGGAAACUACCAAGCUGGAGUACGGUAGGGGCAGAGGGAAUUUCCGGUGGAGCGGUGAAAUGCAUUGAUAUCGGAAGGAACGCCGGUGGCGAAAGCGGUCUGCUGGCCCUCUACUGACGCUGAGGCGCGAAAGCCAGGGGAGCAAACGGG
rnacentral:rRNA from 1 species